rnacentral:rRNA from 1 species
UACGUAGGUGGCAAGCGUUGUCCGGAAUUAUUGGGCGUAAAGCGCGCGUAGGCGGUCCUUUAAGUCGGGGGUGAAAGCCCAGAGCUCAACUCUGGAACUGCCUUCGAAACUAGAGGACUUGGGUACGGGAGAGGUGAGUGGAAUUCCGAGUGUAGAGGUGAAAUUCGUAGAUAUUCGGAAGAACACCAGUGGCGAAGGCGGCUCACUGGCCCGUUACCGACGCUCAGGCGCGACAGCGUGGGGAGCAAACAGG